GAAAACUCCGGUGGUACGGGAUGGACCCGCGUCUGAUUAGCUGGUUGGCGGGGUAACGGCCCACCAAGGCGACGAUCAGUAGCCGGCCUGAGAGGGCGGACGGCCACAUUGGGACUGAGACACGGCCCAAACUCCUACGGGAGGCAGCAGUGGGGAAUAUUGCACAAUGGGGGAAACCCUGAUGCAGCGACGCCGCGUGAGUGAAGAAGCGUUUCGGCGCGUAAAGCUCUGUCAGCGGGGAAGAAACACGGUUCGCGAGAGCCGCGGACGGUACCCGACCAAGAAGCCCCGGCUAACUACGUGCCAGCAGCCGCGGUAAUACGUAGGGGGCAAGCGUUAUCCGGAUUCACUGGGUGUAAAGGGAGCGUAGACGGCGAGACAAGUCUGGAGUGAAAGGCCGGGGCCCAACCCCGGGACUGCUCUGGAAACUGCCUGGCUGGAGUACAGGAGAGGUAAGUGGAAUUCCUAGUGUAGCGGUGAAAUGCGUAGAUAUUAGGAGGAACACCAGUGGCGAAGGCGGCUUACUGGACUGUAACUGACGUUGAGGCUCGAAAGCGUGGGGAGCAAACAGGAUUAGAUACCCUGGUAGUCCACGCCGUAAACGAUGAUCACUAGGUGUCGGGGGUUA
rnacentral:rRNA from 1 species